rnacentral:rRNA from 1 species
AUUGAACGCUGGCGGCAGGCCUAACACAUGCAAGUCGAACGCGUGGCGCACGGGUGAGAAAUGUCUGGACACCUGCCUGAUGGAGGGGGAUAACUACUGGAAACGUUCGCUAAUACCGCAUACCUUCAGAUGUGCCCAGAUGGGCUUAGCUGGUGGGUGGGGUAACGGCGCACCAAGGCGACGAUCCCUAGCUGGUCUGAGAGGAUGACCAGCCACAGUGGAACGGAGACACGGUCCAGACUCCUACGUGAGGCAGCAGUGGGGAAUAGUGCACAAUGGGCGCAAGCCUGAUGCAGCAAUGCGGGGUGGAUGAAGAAGGCCUUGGGGUUGUAAAGUACUUUCAGCGGGGAGGCGUUACCCGCAGAAGAAGCACCGGCUAACUCCGUGCCAGCAGCCGCGGUAAUUC